AUACUUACCUGGCAGGGGAGAUACCAUGAUCAAGAAGGCGGUUCACCCAGGGCGAGGCUCCGCCAUUGCACUCCGGCUGUGUUGACCCCUGCAAAUUCCCCAAGCGUGGUGACGCGGGCGCGCAGGUAAGGAUUAUGGCGUCCGGCGCUUUCCCCGU